UUGCAAUCUUGUCUGUGGAGGACUUAAAACUGAGAAUUUUUGUAUCACCAUAAAUAACAUAAACCCUGUGCCAUAACCUGAGCCUCACCUCACUUGAUAGAUUUACCCAUAUCUCACAGGGAGGGGCUCGAUCC